UACGGAGGGGGGCUAGCGUUGCUCGGAAUCACUGGGCGUAAAGCGCACGUAGGCGGCUCUUUAAGUCAGAGGUGAAAUCCUGGGGGCUCAACCCCAGAACUGCCUUUGAUACUGAGGAGCUUGAGUCCGGGAGAGGUGAGUGGAACUGCGAGUGUAGAGGUGAAAUUCGUAGAUAGUUCGGAAGAACACCAGUGGCGAAGGCGACUUACUGGACACAUAUUGACGCUGAGGUGCGAAAGCGUGGGGAGCGAACAGG
rnacentral:rRNA from 1 species